AUUGAACGCUGGCGGCAGGCCUAACACAUGCAAGUCGAACGGUAACAGGAAGCAGCUUGCUGCUUCGCUGACGAGUGGCGGACGGGUGAGUAAUGUCUGGGAAGCUGCCUGAUGGAGGGGGAUAACUACUGGAAACGGUAGCUAAUACCGCAUAAUGUCGCAAGACCAAAGAGGGGGACCUUCGGGCCUCUUGCCAUCGGAUGUGCCCAGAUGGGAUUAGCUUGUUGGUGGGGUAACGGCUCACCAAGGCGACGAUCCCUAGCUGGUCUGAGAGGAUGACCAGCCACACUGGAACUGAGACACGGUCCAGACUCCUACGGGAGGCAGCAGUGGGGAAUAUUGCACAAUGGGCGCAAGCCUGAUGCAGCCAUGCCGCGUGUAUGAAGAAGGCCUUCGGGUUGUAAAGUACUUUCAGCGGGGAGGAAGGGAGUAAAGUUAAUACCUUUGCUCAUUGACGUUACCCGCAGAAGAAGCACCGGCUAACUACGUG
rnacentral:rRNA from 1 species